rnacentral:misc_RNA from 1 species
UAUUGAAUUUGGGUUUCCAUAUUCUUACACCCUGUGCACCUUUUGUAGGCCAUUCAUUUGGUCUAUGUUUUAUUUCUAACAACUUUGUAAAUGUGAAUGGUAAUGAAUAAAAUUAUUACAACUUUCAACAACGGAUCUCUUGGCUCUCGCAUCGAUGAAGAACGCAGCGAAAUGCGAUACGUAAUGUGAAUUGCAGAAUUCAGUGAAUCAUCGAAUCUUUGAACGCACCUUGCGCCCCUUGGCAUUCCGAGGGGCACACCCGUUUGAGUGUCGUGAAAUUCUCAAAACCCUUUUCUUUGAAAAGGAUUUUUGGACUUGGAGGUUCAAUGCUUGCUUUUGGUUUUGAAAGUGAGCUCCUCUUAAAUGAAUUAGUGGGGUCUGCUUUGCUGGUCCUUAACGUGAUAAGGUGUUUCUACGUUUUGGAUUUGGCAUUGUCCUUUUAGACGUCCGCUCCCAACUGUCUUUUAUGGACGACGGAUGGUGCUUCAGUCGAUCGCCAUUUAUUUACACUGGCGGGAGGCUGGACCCACAAAAAAAAAAAAAAAACCCU